AUGAUUUUGACACGCCGCCGAUUUUAGGAAAAAAUGGUCAGCGCGCCGAUUGCCUUUUUUGUGCUGCGCCGCCGAUCAUAUUUAAACUCGCGCCGAGUCCAUUGUAAACGACCCAAUGGGUCACGCGCCUCAUCGAGACGACCAGAUCUAAAAAACCCAUAAACUUAACGAUCAUGACAGGAGACCCACCGUGUACUCGAUCGCGCUGGUAUGAAACGACAACCAGUAGAAGAAAGCCAAUCCGCGUGUGCUGAAGAUUAUAUUCUAAAAAGUUUACUCGAUUUAUAAAUUAUAAAGAUUUAUUUGAAAUUGUAUUUAAAACACAGUUAUACGCUGCAAUUUGCAAGUCGCGUUAGAUGUAUUAACUCGUAAAGCAGCUGUGAUCAUUAUCGGUGAUAGAAAUUCACAUUUAACAAUCUGUAACUAAUUCGAGUCACGAUUAGGUCACUAGUGACGCUGCUGAAGAAUUGACACGAAGUCACAAAUAAGUUGCGAACGCAAAUAUAGGAGGAAUAGAAGAGGAAUAAAUACUAAACGUAAGUUAUGCGCUCUGAAUUGUAUAUAGCAUAUGCUUAUAACAUAUCAUUGUCAUCCUAGGAAGUUUUUAUUAUUCAUUGUGAAUAAAUAAUUAUUCGGAAAUCAUUUGAUCCUCUCAUUGCGAAGCAACAAUUUGACCUGAAUGUGUAUUGAGUGAAAGAAUUUUGGUUUACUUUACGAUAAUCUUAUUGGUUGUAAUAGUUUUGUGUGAUUCUUACCAUUACCAAUCUUGAGGCAGCAUAUUGUAGUCCAUAUGGAAACAAAGCUGCUUUCGAACCGCACGGCAAUUCAGCAAGAAAUUAAACUGUCACCGUAUCUGUGAGCGGUUUGCUUAUGAACUGUGAAUUUAUAUAGUGUUCCGCUGUUUAAAGACUGGACAAGCGAAUAUCAGCCGAAUAGGUCGGUAAAAGGUAUUAAGAUAUUCAGAAGUUAAGCAAUAUACUUGUUCUAAGCGUUUCUUGUUUUACUAAUCAAUCAAUCGAUAUGAUAAUAAAAUAGCCUGGACAAUACUUUUGCUGACUUCCUACUCGCAUAGUCAUCCGGAUCGCAGCAAUCAACAGUCAGUCUGUGGAAACCAUAAUACUCCCUACUGUUGAAUUCUCAGUAGUUAAAGACACAAGUUACUUAGUGCAAGAACAUAUUUGGCUCAUGCGGAAUUAGAUAGCAUAUCGACCGAAUGAUGUCACUUUUUCAUGGUUAGAAACAGUUAAAACUUAAUGAACCGACAUAUAAGCCAGUACAAUUGUUUCUACAAAAUCUGUGUAAAUAUUUAAAUAAAAAUACGUUGCAAAUUACCAUCGCACGCGUGAAUCACCAUUCUACUCAAAUUUGCACGCAAGCAAAGCUCGUAUAGCGAUUGCUGAACAUCUACUGGCGAUGUUGAA